rnacentral:sRNA from 1 species
AUAUAAGAUGCAUUAACUAUACCUUUAUAUUUUUUAUAGUCGUAAUCCGAUUAUAUCAUCGUGUCUUUUUAUAUGCAAUAUAAAAGAACCUGAAAGCUAUUCAGGUUCUUUUUUGU